ensembl:miRNA
UGUGUCAUCACAAUGCUCCAAUGUGACAUCACAGUGCUCACUGUGCCAUGACAGUGCCCCAGUGUGUCAUCACAAUGCUCAAUGUGCCAUCA